GCUUUCAAUUCAGGUCAUAUACUAUACUAAGCACGACUGUUUUUCACUUUCCUUGCUUCUUUCUAUAUUUUCUCCUUUUUUAUUACAGAUAUUCCGCAAACAACGACAGUAACCACUUUAGCACCUACGGUGGCUAUAAAUACCGUGCCGGUAGUGGUUACGAAAUACAACAACAAAGAUCAACGUAUCAGUAAAAAAGUUCACCGCACAAAAUUGAAUGCUGCUUCGUCAUCAUCCUUGAACAAUGUUUAUUUUGGUGCCACAUCGAGCUUAUGGAAUUCACAAGAUCACAGCACAGGGGGAGAGCAUAAUCAAUCUUUACCUUGUGAACCCGAAAUGACGUCUAAUGUACUCUGCGACACAAAACCAGCGAACCAACUGGUUUCACCUUCAGUGGAUUCUUCAAGCGCCUUUUCUUCCAAUCAUAAGUCACAUCUUAAAGCAGUUUGCUGGACGUAUCUCCUUCAAGGAUUAUACAUGUUAUUUAGGUAACCCGAACGCCUGCGAACAUUGACUCAUUACUUGAUACAAAGGAGAAACGGAAGUAUUGCGCAUUACAGUUCCGGCAUCUCAAAUUUUGACAACUUCAGCUAAUGUAUUUCUAGAAGUAUAUGAGAAACUGUACUAGAGGCGCCUUUUAAGAUAUAAAGUAUAAGAAGAGUGGCCAACAUACGAUUUGAAGAUACAACUGUCAUAAUACGGUGCAUUCGUCCAAAUACCAUCACAUACAUAUGUACAUACUAUACAACAUAAACAUACAGAAGUUGAUACAGGUUUUCACGGCUUGAAACGGUAAAUUCUAAAGGAACUCAAAUAUAUACAAAGGAGGUAUUAUUUACACUACGUGAAGGACUUUUUGAAAUAAUAUAGCAAUGGACAUUCGCAUAAAAUGAGUUGUGCAGCCAAAGCUUUCAAUAUUGGUUGUAAGAAGAAGAAUAUGCUGAGAAUACUACUAAGGAAUACAUUAUUUAAUUAAGAGUGCUUUUAUGUUUAUAAUAACAGCUUCCCCAAUUUAUUUUAAUUGGAGAUAUGUGCAUGUAUGUUUUUAUAUUGUAGAAAUAUGUUCUGUUAAUAUAUAAAAUAUGUAUUUAUUUUUGUACUAAAUCGUUACAAGAAAAAAGAAUUACAUAAAAAAACUUUUA